rnacentral:rRNA from 1 species
UACGUAGGGUGCAAGCGUUGUCCGGAAUUAUUGGGCGUAAAGAGCGUGUAGGCGGCCCGGUAAGUCCGCUGUAAAAGUCAAAGGCUCAACCUUUGAAUGUCAGUGGAUACUGCCGGGCUAGAGUCCGGAAGAGGCGAGUGGAACUCCUGGUGUAGCGGUGGAAUGCGCAGAUAUCAGGAAGAACACCAACGGCGAAGGCAGCUCGCUGGGACGGUACUGACGCUGAGGGACGAAAGCUAGGGGAGCGAAUGGG